AACAAAACCGAAUACCUUUUCCUUUCUCUGUUUAAAACUGGGCUUUUAAUGUCGUCCGGCUUCUUCAAUAGCCGAUCUCAAUACCAACCUGACAUGUAGAAGUUCAAAUUGGUAAUCCAAAGGAUUCAAUUCAACUCUUGUCUUCUGGAGCAGCUCUAACUGGUAUUUGUGAAUGAUCAAUUCCUGAACCACCCAGAACAUUGAAUCAGAGUUCGAGUUGUAUCUGCAAGAGCUUACCACUCCCUCUUUAUGCGUAGCAUCUAAGUAAUGAGGAUGAUAUGAUCGAUUACCUAAAAUCUGUAAGGCUGUUGUAUCUCAUAAAUAUCAUUUGCCCCUAAGUAGGUUCCUUAUGGUUUGCACUUUAGUUUGAACUUUGUUACAGUGUUCUUCUUCAUAUUUGUCAAAGAAAAUGGACAAGGGUUGGGUAAGAUUGAAGAGGGGUAGUGCAGAUUACAAGUUACGAUUACGAGGCUGGAUCUCACACGUCUUAGCAGUUGCAUCCUUUCAUGGAAACAUCAAAUGUCCUUGCAGAUCAUGUGUAAAUGGGGAGUGGCAUGACGGGGAUUCUGUUUAUGGCCACUUGGUGGUUGAAGAUAUUGACCAUUCUUACAUAGAUGGUCCUUGGGUGUGGCAUGGUGAAGCAUUCGGUGUUGAACAGCCUGUGUGUUCGACCUAUGGAGAAGAUACUAAUUCUGGCAUGGCUGACAUGAUACAUGAUCUUUUCCCAAGCAUAGAUGGACAGGAAGGUCCAUGUGAGAAUGAGAACAAUGCUCCCACUUCUGAGAAUGAGAACCAUGGUCCACUCCAACCUAUGCCAGAUGAUGUUCAUCGCUUUCGACUAUUGCUGGAAGAAGCCAAUCAGGACUUAUAUCCAGGUUGCAUAGCAAUGAAAAAGCUGGAAUUUCUUAUCAAAGUAUUCCAGAACAAGUGCUUAUAUGGCCAGAUGUAUCUGUAUCUGCGUGGCUGAAGUUGAUUAAAAAAAUUCUCCCGGCAGGGGAGACAUUGCCUAGCAACUUCUAUAGGACAAAAAGGAUAGUCAAAGCAUUUGAGCUGAAGUAUGAGAAGAUCGAUGCAUGUCGUAAUGACUGCAUGCUGUAUUGGAAACAAAACAGUUCAUUAGAUGCAUGUCUUACUUGUGGGACAAGCCGAUAUACAGAGGAGAUUGGAAACAACAGCAACAGUAAGAAGAAAAGGGUAGCUCAGAAGGUAUUGAGCUAUUUUCUGAUAACUCCUCGGUUGCAGCGUUUGUAUAUGUCCUAGUAUACUGCUGAAGACAUGGCAUGGCAUUCCGAUAAGCGCUCUUCUGAUGGUAAUUUAAGGCACCCUGCUGAUUCACAAGCCUGGAAGCAUUUGGAUACGAAAUUUCCAGACUUUGGUAGUGAAGGGCGUAAUGUGAGGCUUGGUUUGGCUAGCGAUGGAUUCAAUCCAUUUGGUGAUAUGAGUUCCUCACACAGUACAUGGCCAGUCAUUCUGACAGUUUAUAAUUUGCCUCCUGGAAGUGCAUGAAGCAACCUUAUAUGAUGAUGGCUCUCUUGAUCCCAGGGCCCCGUUCUCCUGGUAAUGACAUUGAUGUGCACCUGGAACCUUUAAUUGAUGAGCUUAAGAUUUUGUGGGAGAAUGGUAUCCCCACCUAUGAUGCAUUCAAGAAAGAAACAUUCAACAUGCGGGCUGCAGUGAUGUGGACAAUAAAUGACUUUCCGGCAUAUGCAAAUUUGUCCGGUUGGAGUACCAAGGGCAAGUUAGCAUGUCCUAACUGCAACUACAACACAAGAUCAACAUGGCUACCCCAUGGCAAAAAGCAUGUCUACAUGGCACACCGACGUUUCCUACCACUUCUACACAUAUUCCGUCGCUAUCGAAAAUCAUUUAAUUUGUCUGCAGAAACAGAUCGUGCUCCCACUCCAAUGACAGGAUCCUUUUGUCUUCGACGCUUAUCUAAACUCAGGUUUAAGUUUGGUAAGCCCCCACCACCCAAGGUUGGGCAAAAGAGACAUGCUCAACCAGUCUCCACUGAAGGGCCAUGGAAAAAGAGGAGCAUUUUUUUCGAGUUGCCAUACUGGGAACAUCUACUAAUUCGGCACAAUAUCAACGUAAUGCACGUCGAGAAAAAUGUGUGUGAGAGCUUAUUAGGAACCUUGUUGGAAGCUUCAACCAAAAACAAGGAUACAAUUAAGGCACGAUUGGACAUGCAAUUGAUAGGGAUAAAGCCUGAUUUGUGGCCGGUCACAGAGGGAAAUAAAACUGAAUUGCCUUUGGCUGAAUACACCAUGAUGAGUUGGGAGAAAGAGCUAUUCUGCAUGAUACUAGCAUCUAUAAGAGUACCUGACAAUUAUUCAUCAAAUAUAGCCCGACAUGUGAAUGUAAAGGAGCGGACUAUUCAUGGAUUAAAAAGUCAUGACUGUCAUGUAAUCAUGCAGCAACUCCUCCCCUUGAUGCUUCGAAGGUCACUUCCUUCUGCUGCUGCUAAGGUGUUGAUGGAGUUAAGUGCUUUUUCCGACAUCUUUGCAGCAAAAAUGGUUCAGUUGAGCAUUUUCUUGAUCUGAAGAGAAGGAUAGCUAUGGUGCUUUGUCAAAUGGAGAAGAUGAUGCCCCCAUCAUUUUUUGAUGUAAUGGUUCACUUGCCAAUACAUUUGGUAGAGGAAGCUGCACUUGCUGGUCCGAUCUUCUUCAGAUGGAUGUACCCAAUUGAGAGGUACAUAUAUACACUGCAGAACUAUGUUCGGAAUCGGAAUCGACCUAAAGGGAGCAUUGCCUAAGGGUACCUAUCUGAUGAGUCUAUGUCCUUCUGUGCAAUGUACUUAGAAGACAUAUUGACACGAAGAAAUAGACCUAGUCGUAAUGAGGAUGGAAUCGGUCGGAAUGUAGAAGGUGGACUGUCCAUAUUUCAAGGUGGUAGACGUGCACUUGGAGCUGCGGAAGAGUUUCAACUCAAUGAUGAUGACUGGGAGAGUGCUAGGUCUUGUGUUUUGGCUAAUUGUCCAGAGGCUAAGCCUUAUGAAAGGCAUGGGAAAAAUUCAGUAUUGUAUUAUUACAAUGAAUAAUUAUUAAUAGAAUACAAAGGAUGUUUAAUUCAUGUCUUAACACUUUUGACACAUGAGCAGAAGGCAUGUAAGGGAAGCCCAGGCCAAUCGAGGCCGUCGUGUCACCUUGCUGCAAUCUGAAAAAAGAGCUAAGAAGUCAUUUCCCAAUUGGUUUGACAAACUUGUUAAUGGAAUGCACAACGAGGGUGAUCCACAGGUGACUGAAGAUUUGUUGGCUUUGGCUAAUGGCCCCAGCAAAUGGUGUACUAGAUACAAAAGCUAUGUAAGCAAUGGAUUUAGAUUUAAAGUGAGGAAUGGAUUGGAAGAUGAUAAGCGUCAAAAUUGGGGGGUGUGGCUCCAAGCAGAAAUGUCUAGCUAUGCAACUGCAAACGAUUGCAACCAUCGGGAAGGGAUGGUUGGUCUCUACAGCGCCCUUGUUGAUAUAAUUGAACUGCAAUAUCGCGGUGACAGAAACAUUGUGUUAUUUAAAUGUGAUUGGCCGGAAGUAAAUUCACGCGGUGGAGAAGUGAAGAAGGAUGAAUAUGGUUUUACUCUAGUUAACUUCAACAAGUGUAUGAGACCUGAGGAUCCGUACGUAUUUGCAUCGUAUGCCAUUCAAGCUAUGUUUGUGAAGGAUCCAACUGAUGUUGAAUGGCACGUUGCCAUCAAGACCAGGCCUAGGGACUUUUUUGAUAUGUCUUCAACACCAAUUGAUGAUCCAUGUUCAAGGCAAGAUCUAGAACAUGUAACAGGUGAUGAUGAUCAUCUACCCAUUAGGACAGAUGUGAGAAGUAGAAAGGAUUAAAAGCUGUUUGGGCAAGAGUGUUGAAAAUGGGAGGACAGGUGGCAGUUAUGGAACAGGAUCCCGCUUGAUUGUUUGAAAAGGACAGAAGUGUGGGAAAACCACAACUCAAACUAGAGCCAAAGUUGCUAACCCGGGAAAAGGAGGUUUGUGGGACCUGAAAAAGAUUUUAAAAUGGACUACCACGGGAUGGUCAGCCAUAUUAACCCUUAUCAAUGUUAAAAGCAUUCUCCAACCUCCCUCUCAUCAGUUAGAAGAACAGAAAGCUUAAGCACAUUUACAAAUACAAAGCAAAUAGGCUUCCUCUAGGCUGGGAUAGAAGGUUUGAAGAUGACCAAUGAUACGGUUGGGAAUGGAAGUUGGGCUGUAUCAUUAGGUGCAGACAUGGAGACGCAACAACCGCUAGAUCCUUUGUACCAUUACAACAUGGAGGUGAAUUCUACUGUGAAUGAUACAGCGGAGGAGACUGAAAAUCCAAAUUGUGCUGAAAGAUCGAGUGCAGCAAAGAUGCGUCGAUUUCGGAUUAAUAGAUGCCCUAAUAGGCCUAGAUGGGCCGCAAACGGGACUGUGGAAAAACUGAAGUUUAAUGCCAAAGGACAACCAGUUGCACCACCUUACACAGUUGCCAGGUUCUCUAGGUUCUUGGGGUGGCUCGCAUUGGAGUCAUCGUUCUUCCCGAUUGAUAAUACUGAUUGGAGAAAUUUCUACAAGGCCUCAAACAUGGAUGCUGCUUGGGAGAGGAUUAAGAGAACGAUUGAUUGGAGCAAUGUAGAUGUGGCAAUGUAGCCAUUUGUUCGCCGAGUCUGCGAACUCAAAUUGAAUGAUAGGUGGAAGAGAGUUAUAAGUCACGACUCCGGAGGUUAUACUACAAGCCAAACAUCGGUACUCCAAGGAGGUUUUCCUGCAGCCAUCCUAGUGUGAACCAAACCCAAUGGAGGCCGCUCGUGGCUGAGUGGGAUAAAAACCCUAAUCAG